rnacentral:rRNA from 1 species
AUUGAACGCUGGCGGCAGGCCUAACACAUGCAAGUCGAGCGGAUGACGGGAGCUUGCUCCUUGAUUCAGCGGCGGACGGGUGAGUAAUGCCUAGGAAUCUGCCUGGUAUUGGGGGACAACGGUUCGAAAGGAACGCUAAUACCGCAUACGUCCUACGUGAGACAGCAGGGGACCUUCGGGCCUUGCGCUAUCAGAGGAGCCUAGGUCGGAUUAGCUAGUUGGUGGGGUAAUGGCUCACCAAGGCGACGAUCCGUAACUGGUCUGAGAGGAUGGUCAGUCACACUGGAACUGAGACACGGUCCAGACUCCUACGGGAGGCAGCAGUGGGGAAUAUUGGACAAUGGGCGAAAGCCUGAUCCAGCCAUGCCGCGUGUGUGAAGAAGGUCUUCGGAUUGUAAAGCACUUUAAGUUGGGAGGAAGGGCAGUAAGCUAAUACCUUGCUGUUUUGACGUUACCGACAGAAUAAGCACCGGCUAACUCUGUGCCAGCAGCCGCCGUAA